UUGACACUUUGUUCUUUGUUGAAACAUGCUAUCUUAACUCCAUCAAGAGAUCCACAGAUCCAGAGCGAGAGCGAUCAGUAUAGGAGAGAGACCAUUGGAACUGCUGCAGGCUGGACGGCGGAGGGUUAAGCGAUUUGUGCGUGGUUUCACGCUGGUGGGCGGCGAGUGGCGUGCCAGCAUCUCGAGCUCCAUCUGUGCUCGCGUUACAGCGCCGACAGCUCUCCAAACACACAUCGUGCCCCACUCUCUCCUGGCUGACGUGAGGCUGAUUUGUGAUUGGAUGUGGAGCCUGAAGGUCAAAAUCACCCUUGAGAGCAUCUCCCAAAGGUAACGCUUCUCUUUCAGAUUCAUCAUUAUUCGCUGUAACCUUUAUUAAA
ensembl:lncRNA